rnacentral:rRNA from 1 species
GACGUAGGGCGCGAGCGUUGUCCGGAUUUAUUGGGCGUAAAGAGCUCGUAGGCGGCUGGUUGCGUCGGUCAUGUAAUCCCGGGGCUUAACUUUGGGGUUGUGGCUGGUACGGGUUGGCUUGAGUCUGGUUGGGGAGACUGGAAUUCCUGGUGUAGCGGUGAAAUGCGCAGAUAUCAGGAGGAACACCGGUGGCGAAGGCGGGUCUCUGGGCCAGUUCUGACGCUGAGGAGCGAGAGCGUGGGGAGCGAAC